rnacentral:rRNA from 1 species
UACGUAGGGCGCGAGCGUUGUCCGGAAUUAUUGGGCGUAAAGAGUUCGUAGGCGGCCUGUUGCGUCCGCUGUGAAAGCCCGGGGCUUAACCCCGGGUCGGCAGUGGAUACGGGCAGGCUAGAGGUAGGUAGGGGAGAAUGGAAUUCCCGGUGUAGCGGUGAAAUGCGCAGAUAUCGGGAGGAACACCGGUGGCGAAGGCGGUUCUCUGGGCCUUACCUGACGCUGAGGAGCGAAAGCGUGGGGAGCGAACAGG